rnacentral:rRNA from 1 species
GGAGCAUUCACUACACGAUGAAGGUGUGACGUGAGUCAUGCUGGAGAUUAGUGAAGAGCAAAUGUAGGCAUAAGUAACGAUAAGGCAGGCGAGAAACCUGCCCACCGAUAGACUAAGGAUUCCCCGGCAAUGCUAAUCAGCCGGGGGUUAGUCGGGACCUAAGGCAAACCCGAAAGGGGUAGUCGAUGGACAACUGGUUAAUAUUCCAGUACUACUUUUAUUUUCGAUGGGGUGACGGAGUAGUGAAAGCACCGCGUACUGACGGAAUAGUACGUUAAAGGGUGUAGGUAU